rnacentral:rRNA from 1 species
GACGAACGCUGGCGGCGUGCCUAAUACAUGCAAGUUGAGCGCUGAAGGUUGGUACUUGUACCAACUGGAUGAGCAGCGAACGGGUGAGUAACGCGUGGGGAAUCUGCCUUUGAGCGGGGGACAACAUUUGGAAACGAAUGCUAAUACCGCAUAAAAACUUUAAACACAAGUUUUAAGUUUGAAAGAUGCAAUUGCAUCACUCAAAGAUGAUCCCGCGUUGUAUUAGCUAGUUGGUGAGGUAAAGGCUCACCAAGGCGAUGAUACAUAGCCGACCUGAGAGGGUGAGCGGCCACAUUGGGACUGAGACACGGCCCAAACGCCUACGGGAGGCAGCAGUAGGGAAUCGUCGGCAAUGGACGAAAGUCUGACCGAGCAACGCCGCGUGAGUGAAGAAGGGUGUCGGAUCGUAAAACUCUGUUGGUAGAGAAGAAAGUUGGUGAGAGUGGAAAGCUCAUCAAGUGACGGUAACUACCCAGAAAGGGACGGCUAACUACGUG